rnacentral:tRNA from 2 species
GCGGGCGUGCUGAAAUUGGCAAACAGGACGGUUUUAGGUGCCGUUGCUCGAAAGAGUUUGUGGGUUCGAGUCCCACCGCCCGCACUA